UACAGAGGUGUCAAACGUUGUCCGGAAUUACUGGGCGUAAAGGGCGCGUAGGCGGCCUUAUAAGUCAUGUGUGAAAGCUCUGGGCUCAACCCAGGAAUUGCAUGUGAUACUGUAAGGCUUGAGUUCGGUAGAGGAGGGCGAAUUCCAGGUGUAGCGGUGAAAUGCGUAGAUAUCUGGAGGAACACCGGUGGCGAAGGCGGCAUCCUGGACCGGUAUUGACGCUGAGGCGCGAAAGCUAGGGGAGCAAACGGG
rnacentral:rRNA from 1 species